rnacentral:rRNA from 1 species
UACGUAGGCAGCAAGCGUUGUUCGGAGUUACUGGGCGUAAAGGGUGCGUAGGUGGCUCUAUAAGUAUGGUGUGAAAUCCCUCAGCUUAACUGGGGAACUGCGUCUGAUACUGGUGGGCUUGAGUGCAGGAGAGGAACGCGGAAUUCCAGGUGUAGCGGUGAAAUGCGUAGAUAUCUGGAGGAACACCGGUGGCGAAGGCGGCGUUCUGGACUGCAACUGACACUGAGGAACGAAAGCCAGGGGAGCAAACAGG